AUGGACCGGUCACGUUCUGCCGUCCUCGUCCUCGUCGUCGCCUUCUUCCUCCUGUGCGCGUCCGCCAAGGACCAGCUGGCCGUGGGGGAGAAGCUCCUGGCCGGACAGUCCCUCGUGUCCGACGGCGGCGCCUUCGCUCUCGGCUUCUUCUCCCCAGACGACGCCGCUGGCCCGGCGAGACGGUAUCUUGGCAUAUGGUACAACGGCAUCCCCGGGCCUCGCACCGUCGUCUGGGUGGCCAACCGGGGCGCCCCGGCCGCCAGCGCCCCGACGCUCGCGCUGGCCAACGACUCCCGCCUCGUCAUGUCCGACGCCGACGGCCGCGUGCUCUGGAACACGACCGUCGCGGUCAGUUCAUCACCACAGGCGCCGGCAGCGGCCGUGCUGACGAACGAGGGCGACCUGGUCGUCCAGCGAGCGAACGGCCCCGCGUUGUGGCAGAGCUUCGACCACCCGACGGAUACGUUCAUUCCGGGGAUGAAGAUGCGGCUGAGCCGCCGGACGGGAAAGGGCGACCGCAUCGUGUCCUGGAAAUCCUCCGGCGACCCGGCGCCGGGGCGCUUUUCCUACGGCCUGGACCCCCGCACGUCGCUGCAGCUGCUCAUGUGGAACGGGACGCGCCCCUACUGGCGCACGCCCGUCUGGACGGGGCACGCCGUGACCAGCAUGUACGUCAGCGCCGGCACGAUACUCUACACGGCGAUCGUCCUGACCGAGGAGGAGAUCUCCGUGGCCAUCACCGUUUCCAGUGGCGCGGCGCCUACACGGUACGUGGUGACCAGCUCCGGCAGGUUCCAGCUCCUCAGCUUGGACGGCGCCGCGUCGACCUGGGACAUGCUCCAGUCGUGGCCGACGAGCGGGUGCAGCACGUACAGGGACUGCGGUGCGUACGGGUACUGCGACGUUACGGUGGCUCCCGCGGCGUGCAGGUGCCUCGAUGGCUUCGAGCCGGCGAGUCCGGCGGAGUGGACAGCUUUCAGUUUCGAGCAAGGGUGCCGGCGGAAGGAGGCGCUGCCGCCGUGCGGACGCGGCAGCAUAGGAGUGGGUUUCAUAGCGAUGCCUACGAUGAACGUGCCGGACAAGUUCUCGCUCGACUCCGGCAACCGGAGCGCGGAGGAGUGCGCGGCGAGGUGCGCCGCCAACUGCUCGUGCAUGGCGUACGCCAACCUGCAGAGCAGCAGCGCCAUGGGGGACGUGAGCCGGUGCAUCGUGUGGGCAGGGGAGCUCGUCGACGCGCAGAUGAUCGGCUGGGGCGGCGAGACGCUCUACCUCCGCGUGCCCGUUGCUGCUGCCUCCACAGUGCCGGUGUUAGCCCUGCCGAACAGAGGUGGAAAGUCCAGCAGAAAUGUAGUGAAAAUAGCACUGCCGGUGCCAGCAUCUGUCCUAUUGCUCACAUGCAUUUUCUUUGUAUGGUUGUGGAGAUUCAGAGAUAGGAGAAAGAAAACCGUGAGCCAGAAGAAGCUAAUGCCCGGGACGGGAACCACAAACACAUGGAGCGAAAUCGAAGGAGAUCACACGGUAGACCUUGAGUUCCCCUCUAUACGGCUCACCGACAUCGUCGCGGCCACCGGCAACUUCUCGGAAACACUCAUGAUCGGACGCGGAGGCUUCGGCAAAGUCUACAAGGGAACACUAUACGGCGGUCAGGUGGUCGCUGUGAAGAGGCUGAGCAAGGACUCGGACCAGGGAGCAGAGGAGUUCAAGAACGAGGCCAUUCUGAUCGCCAAGUUGCAGCACCGGAACCUGGUCCGCCUCCUCGGCUGCUGCACCGAGGAGGCCGAGAAACUUCUCAUCUAUGAGUACCUGCCCAACAAGGGCCUCAACGCCAUUCUCUUUGACAGUGCGAGGAAAUCAGCCUUGGAUUGGCCUACUAGGCUGGGGAUCAUCAAGGGUGUGGCCAGGGGGCUGCUCUACCUCCACCAGGACUCGAGGCUGACGGUGAUACAUCGGGACCUCAAGGCCAGCAACGUGCUGCUGGACGCCGAGAUGCGGCCCAAGAUCGCCGACUUUGGCAUGGCCAAGAUCUUCGCUGACAACCAAGUCAAAGCCAACACCAAGCGCGUUGUCGGGACAUAUGGCUACAUUGCUCCCGAGUACUCGGCGGAGGGAGUCUUCUCUGUCAAGUCCGACGUGUACAGCUUUGGUGUGCUGCUGCUGGAGAUGAUGAGCGGCGUCAGGAUAAGCACAACCGAGGGCAUCAUGGAGUUUCCCAGCCUGACAGUCUAUGCAUGGAGCCUGUGGAGGGAAGGGAAGGCAGGUAAGCUGGUGGAUCCAUCCAUGGCAGGGAGCUGUUCACAGGAUGAGGCUUUGCUGUGCAUCCACGUCGGGCUCCUCUGCGUCGAGGACGACCCGAGCAGGAGGCCACUCAUGUCCUCCGUCGUGUCCAUCUUAGAGAACGGAAGUGCAUCGUCGACGGUGUCACUAUCCCUCCCAACGCCAGUGCAGCCUGGUUUUUUCGAAAUGAUGGGACAGAAGAUCGAGAGAAGCGAUCUCGAGAACACCAGGAACACCAUGGCCAUGACAGUUCUGCAAGGCAGAGAAGUUAUGCAUUACACAUUCAGAGGUUCAGAGAAACAAGUAGUUAAGCUGAAGAACAGAGAUGCCUUGGCACCUCGUCCUGUCCGACGCCGACGGCCGCGUGCUCUGGACCACGCCCGGCGCGGGCAGAUCGUCCUCGCAGGCCGCGACGGCAACCUGCUCAUCCAGCUGCCGGACGGCACGGUGGUGUGGCAGAGCUUCGACCACCCGACGGACACGUUCCUGCCGAGGAUGGAGGUGCGGCUGAGCCACACGGGCAAGGCUGGCUGGCUCGUCCCCUGGAGGUCUCCACGCGACCCGGCGCCGGGGCGCUUCUCCUACGGCCUGGACCCCAGCACGUCGCUGCAGCUGCUCAUGUGGAACGGCACGCGCCCCUACUGGUGCAAUCCCGUCUGGACGGGGCACGCCGUCUCCAGCAGCUACAUCAGCGCCGGCACGGUCAACACGGCGGUCGUGGCCACCGAGGAGGAGAUCGCCAUCACCUUCACGCCCACGCGGUACGUGCUGACCAGCUCCGGCAGCCUCCAGCUUCUCAGCUGGAACGGCACCACGUCUGCCUGGGACACGCUCCAGUCGUGGCCGUCGAGCGGGUGCAGCAGCUAUGGGCACUGCAGCGCGUACGGGUACUGCGACGUCACGGCGGCGCCGGCGGCGUGCAGGUGCCUCGAUGGGUUCGGCCGGCGAGUGCGGCGGAGUGGAGCGCCGGCAGGCAACCGGAGCGCGGAGGAGUGCGCGGCGAGGUGCGCAGCCAGCUGCUCGUGUGUGGCCUACGCAUACGCGGGUGAACUGGGCCGGUGCCUGGUGUGGGCAGGGGAGCUCGUGGACGCACAGAUGAUCGGCGCGCCCGGCGAGACGCUCUACCUCCGCGUGCCGGUUGCUGCUGCUUCCACAGGUAGAAAUGCAGUGAAGAUAGCAGUGCCGGUGUUGGCAGCUGCCCUGCUGCUCUCAUGCAUUUUCUUCGUAUGGUUUCGUAGAUUCAGAGGCAACUUCUCCAAGACAUUCAUGAUUGGCCGUGGAGGCUUUGGCAAUGUCUAUAAGGGGACGUUGGAAGGCGGUCAUGUGGUUGCUGUGAAGAGACUGAGCAAGGAUUCAGGGCAGGGAGGAAAUCUGUGCUGGACUGGCCGACGAGGCUGGGGAUCAUCAAGGUUGGUAGCGAGGGGGCUGCUCUACCUCCACCAGGACUCGAGGCUGACGGUGAUACACAGGGACCUCAAGGCCAGCAACGUCCUUUUAGACGCCGAGAUGCGGCCCAAGAUCGCCGACUUCGGCAUGGCCAAGAUCUUCGGCGACAACCAGGUCAAAGCCAACAGCAAGCGCGUCGUUGGAACAUACGGCUACAUUGCCCCCGAGUACUCGACGGAGGGUGUCUUCUCAGUUAAGUCCGACGUGUACAGCUUCGGCGUGCUGCUGCUGGAGAUCGUGAGCGGCGUUAGGAUAAGCGCAACCAAGGGCAUCAUGGAGUUCCCUAGCUUGAUAGUCUAUGCAUGGCACCUGUGGAGGGAAGGGAAGGCAGUCAAGCUGGUGGAUCCAUCCAUGGCAGAGAGCUGUUCGCAGGAUGAGGCAUUGCUCUGCAUCCACGUCGGCCUCCUGUGCGUGGAGGACGACCCGAGCAGGAGGCCCCUCAUGUCGUCCGUUGUGUCCAUCUUGGAGAACGGAAGCGCGUCGGUGGUGGCAUCGGCGUCUCUCCCGGCGCCGAACCAGCCAGGGUACGUCGGAAUGAUGGAAGAGAAGAUCCAGAGAACCGAUCUCGAGAACAGCAGGAACACCAUUGCCAUGACCGUUCUGCAAGGCCGGUAG
rnacentral:rRNA from 1 species